rnacentral:rRNA from 1 species
GAUGAACGCUAGCUAUAUGCUUAACACAUGCAAGUCGAGGGGAAACGCCAUUAUGUGCUUGCACUUUUUUGACGUCGACCGGCGCACGGGAGAGUAUCGCGUCUCCCCUCUACCCUUUACUUAGGUAUACCACGUUGGAAGACGGCCUAAUACCCGAUGUAAUUCAUUUAUUUCAUCAGAUAUGAAUAAAAUUUCUAUCGGUAAAGGAUGGGGAUGCGUCUGAUUAGCUUGUUGGUAAGGUAACGGCUCACCAAGGCGACGAUCAGUAGGGGUUCUGAGAGGAAGGCCCACCACAUUGGAACUGAGACACGGUCCAAACUGCUACGGGAGGAAGCAGUGAGGAAUAUAGUUGAAGAGGGGCAAGCGUGAAACAGCCAAGUAGCGGACAGGAAGACUGCGCUAUGGGUUGUAAACUACUUUGAUACAAGAAUAAUGUGAGGAACGAGGGAGUUAUUGAAGGUAUCGUAUGAAUAAGGACCGGCUAAUUCCGUG